CGCCUGUAAUCCCAGCACUUUGGGAGGCCAAGGCGGGCGGAUCACCUGAGGUGGGGAGUUCGAGACCAGCCUGAUCAACAUGGAGAAAACCUGUCUCUCCUAAAAAUACAAAAUUAACCGAGCAUGUUGGCGCAUGCCUGUAAUCUCAGCUACUUGGAAGGCUGAGGCAGGAGAAUUGCUUCAAACUGGGCAGAGGUUGCAGUGAGCCAAGGUUGACCCACUGCACUCCAGCCUGGGCAACAAGAGCAAAACUCCAUCUCAAAAAAAAAAAAAAAGAAAGAAACAGUGCCGAAAAAUCACAAUGAUUUGAGUUCUUCAAAAACCUUUGAUUGGCUGCAUUGGCUCUGUUCUGCAUAUUACUAGACUUCUUACAUGAUCACAAGUAACCACUAAUUGGUUAAAACCAAAGAGAGAGAGAGAGAGAGUGUGUGUGUGUGUGUGUGUGUUUGGUUGGGGGGUGUUGUGUUAGCUUCCAGGUGAAUGCAUUAUCUGUUAAUCCUGUUUAUUGAUCUGUUUUUAUAAGUGCUCCAUGAUUCUCUGAAAACAGUAUACUAUGUAUCUAAUUUUUGGAUACAGGAUGGACAUACGUACUCAAACUGUGUUUUUCAAUUUGUACUGUAUUUGUUUCUCUCGACCUGACUUAGUGAUAGAGGUAUAUUAAAGUCUUCCACUAG
rnacentral:lncRNA from 1 species